AGCCAUAUAACGUUGAAACACCGGUUCUCGUAAGAUCACAGAAGUUAAGCAACGUCGAGCCUAGUAAGUACCUAUAUGGUUGACCGCUUGGAAAUAUC